rnacentral:rRNA from 1 species
UCGUCACACUAUCAUUAACUGAAUCCAUAGGUUAAUGAGGCGAACCGGGGGAACUGAAACAUCUAAGUACCCCGAGGAAAAGAAAUCAACCGAGAUUCCCCCAGUAGCGGCGAGCGAACGGGGAGGAGCCCAGAGCCUGAAUCAGCAUGUGUGUUAGUGGAAGCGUCUGGAAAGGCGCGCGAUACAGGGUGACAGCCCCGUACACAAAAGCGCAUGUGCUGUGAGCUCGAUGAGUAGGGCGGGACACGUGGUAUCCUGUCUGAAUAUGGGGGGACCAUCCUCCAAGGCUAAAUACUCCUGACUGACCGAUAGUGAACCAGUACCGUGAGGGAAAGGCGAAAAGAACCCCGGCGAGGGGAGUGAAAAAGAACCUGAAACCGUGUACGUACAAGCAGUGGGAGCCCCACCACCAAAGCAUUUGCUGUACCGCGUUGACGGAGCGAAGCGACGUCAAACCGAUAAAACAGCAGUGUAAA